CCUACGGGUGGCAGCAGUGAGGAAUAUUGGUCAAUGGACGAGAGUCUGAACCAGCCAAGUAGCGUGAAGGAUGACUGCCCUAUGGGUUGUAAACUUCUUUUAUAUGGGAAUAAAAUGUUCCACGUGUGGGAUUUUGUAUGUACCAUAUGAAUAAGGAUCGGCUAACUCCGUGCCAGCAGCCGCGGUAAUACGGAGGAUCCGAGCGUUAUCCGGAUUUAUUGGGUUUAAAGGGAGCGUAGGUGGAUUGUUAAGUCAGUUGUGAAAGUUUGCGGCUCAACCGUGAAAUUGCAGUUGAAACUGGCAGUCUUGAGUACAGUAGAGGUGGGCGGAAUGCGUGGUGUAGCGGUGAAAUGCUUAGAUAUCACGAAGAACUCCGAUUGCGAAGGCAGUUCACUGGACUGCAACUGACACUGAGGCUCGAAAGUGUGGGUAUCAAACAGGAUUAGAUACCCCUGUAGUC
rnacentral:rRNA from 1 species